rnacentral:snRNA from 1 species
UCAGCUCCCUUUGCCACCAGGCUUAGAUCAAGUGUAGUAUCUGUUCUUCCAAGUUUGACCGCUUUGGACUCGACUACGUGUCGAAACUCAACGUUCACUUAUUUUUCGAAACUCGCGAGGCGUCACCUUGGGCUUGUCCUGGGGGGUGCUGAGCAUUGUGUCCUUGGCCUUGCACUGCUGCCUUGAGAUGCGAACAACUU